rnacentral:tRNA from 1 species
GGGGUUGUGGCUCAGAGGUAGAGCAUUUGCUUUACAUGUAUGAAGCACUGGGUUCGACCCUCAGCACCACA